CAACAAUUUGGGGACCCUCAGCUUAUAAAUGAACUUGAAGCCAUGGACCUGAAAGGGAUUAGCCUGAGCACAGAGAAGAGUAAAACCAAUUCCUGCAGCAAAGGAGCUCACAGUCCAGUGGGAGAAAGUGGUCACUACAGCCUGAGAAUUCCACAAGACCUAGUCUUCCCUUCCCCUCCAUAAUCAGCAACCCCAAGACAGCAGAAGACAGUAGCCAGGACCUGACUAAAGAUCAAGAUCUGGACCUCUGGCAGGUUAAAGAUACCAUCUUGACCUAAAUUAUGUUUUAGUUCCUGAGCCCUAAUGUGGACCAACCUCCAGCUACUUUUCUAUGAGACUGGACAGAGGGAUGCUGAAAGAGACCUCCAAGCUGUCUUCAAAAUCUGAAGAUAUGAUUCUUCAUCCUUACUUCAGCUCUGACCAAUCAGCUUCCAGCACUUCUCUGAACCCUAUCACAUAGGGGGUGUGAUUUUAUGCUAUGUAAUCUGUAACCUACAUGCCAUUAGGAAAGUUAGGGCUUUUGAACAUUAGCUUCCCAUUCUCUUGGGUGGCAUCUUCAUAAUAAAAUAGUGAAUAUUUCUCCAUCGCAAUUCUUGGU